UCAAGCAGAAACAACGCCAAAGGACUACAUUUCCCAGGAUGCACCUCCACCCUUCAGGUGCGACCGCUUUACCUAUGGGCUUGACGGGAAGAUUCAAAAUCGCGAACCGUUACUGCAUGGAUUACUCUCGGUCUCUUUGUUUGCUCAUCGACAUUACGAGGUCAUGUACACUGUGGUCAACUUUGUGGACGAUGAAGAGGUUUCUGGGUAAAGAUUAUAGAAAUAUAACGAAGUAACAGUGGAAGCUAAAACAUCAGACUGAUCUAGACACUGAAGAAAUUCAUGUCACUGCAAUCUGGCCAAAAUGAUACAACUAUAUUGAAGUAACCUACUGUAAUGAAGCUGCAGAACAACACAGAGACUCUGAGGACAUCAACACAGAAAAUGAAGGCUCCAAAGAGAUGUCUGUCCAGAUGAGGGUGCAUCAACUUUACCUUUGCUGACAACAGUUAACUUAACUCAAACCAUUUAAGGAAAUCGGUUGCCUUAAACCAUUAAGUAAAAAAAAAAACAUUUGAGUACUGUGAACUUAAGUCUUGUGCAAUUAUGCACUUAUAUUUAGGUAGUGUGAACUUAAAUAUAAGUGCAUAACUGCAUGUGACUCAAUUUUUUUAAGUUCACAGUACUCAAAUCUAUGUGUUUUAAAACUUGAAUGGUUUAAUGCAACCGGUUGUCUUAAAUGUGAGAAAUGACAGUGUUACAGUGAGAAAUGUUUGAUUAAUUCCAAGACAGAGCUCUGCUAUUGAAUCUACACUGCAAAAAAUCACUUUCUAACUUAGGAUUUUUAUCUUGUUUUCAGUAGAAAAACUAAAAAUUCUUAAAUCAAGAUGUAUUUUCUUGAUGAGCAAAAUUACCUUAGAAAAUAUGUGUAGUUUUUAGACAAAAAUAUACAAUUUAAGUAAAUUUGUGCCUAAACAAGCAAAAAUAUCUUAACAGUGGAGUGAGAAAAUUGUGCUUAAAUUAAGUUUUUAUGAAAAAAGAAAACGUAAGAUUUUUUUUCUCACACCAUUGGCAGAUAUUUUUGCUUGUUUUAAGCACAAAUUCACUUAAAGUGUGUGUGUGUGUGUUUAUUUAUUUUGUCUAAAACUAGACUUAUUUUCUUAGGUCAUUUUGUUCAUCAAGAAAAAGCAUUUUAAUUUAAAUAAUAUUUCUACUAAAAACAAGACAAUAAUACUAUGUUAGAGUCAUUUUUUGCAGUGUAGGACUGAUUUCUUAAAGCAAGAUCAAUAUAGUUGUUGUUCAUUUUAUUUAGAUAUUUACUACAUUACAGUGGCAGCUGGUGACUUGUUUUUUGUGAGCACUUGAUGCGAAGUUUGUCACAACAUGUAUACAGCCCGUCAUUUGU